rnacentral:misc_RNA from 1 species
UCCCCGUUAUCCUGGGCAGUCCUUCCAGAGUUCCCGGCAUGACCCGUUGGCAACUGGAAGCAGGGGUUGCGCUCGUUGCGGGACUUAACCCAACACCUCACGACACGAGCUGACGACAGCCAUGCAGCACCUGUGCACGCUGGGAUUGCUCCCUCGUCGGGCUUUCACCCUUCUACUACGUGCAUGUCAAGGCCAGGUAAGGUUCUUCGCGUUGCAUCGAAUUAAGCCACAUACUCCACCGCUUGUGCAGGCCCCCGUCAAUUUCUUUGAGUUUCAGCCUUGCGGCCGUACUCCCCAGGCGGGGCACUUAAUGCGUUAGCGCCGGCACCCAGGGGGUCGCUCCCCCAGGCACCUAGUGCCCAUCGUUUACGGCGUGGACUAC